rnacentral:rRNA from 1 species
CAGCAGCCGCGGGAACACAGAGGGUGCGAGCGUUAAUCGGAUUUACUGGGCGUAAAGCGUGCGUAGGCGGCUUUUUAAGUCGGAUGUAAAAUCCCUGAGCUUAACUUAGGAAUUGCAUUCGAUACUGGGAAGCUAGAGUAUGGGAGAGGAUGGUAGAAUUCCAGGUGUAGCGGUGAAAUGCGUAGAGAUCUGGAGGAAUACCGAUGGCGAAGGCAGCCAUCUGGCCUAAUACUGACGCUGAGGUACGAAAGCAUGGGGAGCAAACAGGAUUAGAGACCCCUGUAGUCCCUGUCUCUUAUAC